UAGGGAAUAUUGGUAAUGUGCGAAAGCGCGAACCAGCAACGCCGCGUGCACGAUGAAGGCCUUCGGGUCGUAAAGUGCUUUUAGAGAGGAUGAGGAAGGACAGUACUUUCUGAAUAAGCCUCGGCUAACUACGUGCCAGCAGCCGCGGUAAAACGUAGGAGGCAAGCGUUAUCCGGAUUUACUGGGCGUAAAGCGCAUGCAGGUGGUUUUGUAAGCUGGAUGUGAAAGCUCCUGGCUUAACUGGGAGAGGUCGUUCAAAACUACAAGACUUGAGAUUGGUAGAGGAAAAAUGGAAUUCCGGGUGUAGUGGUGAAAUGCGUAGAUAUCCGGAGGAACACCAGUGGCGAAAGCGGUUUUCUGGACCAAUUCUGACACUCAGGUGCGAAAGCUAAGGUAGCAAACGGGAUUAGAGACCCCGGUAGUCUUAGCUGUAAACGGUGUGAACUUGGCGUCGGUGGGUUUAAAUCCAUCGGUGCCGAAGCUAACGCGAUAAGUUCACCGCCUGGGGACUACGGCCGCAAGGUU
rnacentral:rRNA from 1 species